CCUUGACCAAUUUUUGGCUAGACAAUGGUUGGUAAACUUUGUAUGGUAUGAAUUGACACAUACACUCAUAACAAUCAAUCUAUCGUUCUGCAGUUAGUUUAGUACCGAACUUCUCUGUUCUCCACCCCACUCGCCAAAUCCCUCGCCUCAUCCUUCCUCAUUUCUUUCUCCUCGCGACUCACCUCCGCACCCCACAUUCUCUCCUCUGCUGCUGCCACCGGACUACGCCCUGCGCUGCCCGCUGUACAUUGGGCGCGUACGCGGCCCCGACCCGACGGCAGCUCGUGGAUCCCCCACUCAUGGCGGCGAAGGGGUCGAGCAGCCGGCGAGGGAAGAGCUGGAGGGAGGCCGGCGGAGGGGCGUGGGGUGGUGCAUGCCUUCACCCGCGGCGGCGGCGCCACCAGAGGCAGCAGUUCAACGGAGGGGUUCGCCGGAGCCUGCAUCGCUGCCCGGGGCCGAAAUCUCUGCUGCUUCCGCUGUGCGGUGCUCGUGAGGCUAGGAUUCUUGCUUGCCUUGGUUGCUUCGGCGUAGUGGUUCAGUGGGGAAGUGGGAGAAGCUGCUGGAAGACAUUGAAGACUUGGAGGAUGCGAGGAACAGAAGAGCAAGAGUGCUCGAUUGCGAAGAAAAGGAAGACCCUAGUUGAUACAUAUAGGGAUGAUGGGUCAAGAAGCGAAAGAAUCAGGAGGUGUUUGCUUUCAACUAAGCAUGCCUAUGUGUGGAGGUCCGUCCCUGCUUCGGAGAAACCUCAUCGACGUUGCCAAGCAAAGAAGGCCGAUAGCUUUAGUGUCGCAGUUGAACUUAGUGUCCUAGCUGAACAAUUGGCUAAAGUGCCGUCUGUGGUGGUCAAUAUUAUCGAAAAGUAAGCUACAAAGACCAUUGGAAGUUUAUAGGAAUAAACCACCAUUGCUGAAAAAAUUGUUAUUGAGAUAUCAUCUACAACACCCCAAAAAAGGUAAUUGUCUGUUUCAAAUCUUCUUAUUAUUUCCUUUUAUGUGUUGGGUAAUUUUUUGUUGUAGUGCGUGGUAAUUUCUAGUAUAAUUGUCCUUAUUUUUAUGAUAACUUUGUAUGACUCGUGUUUUGGUCA